CGGAGGGUGCGAGCGUUGUUCGGAUUUAUUGGGCGUAAAGGGCGUGCAGGCGGUUUCGCAAGUCCGAUGUGAAAGCCCCGGGCUCUACCCGGGAAGUGCAUCGGAAACUGCGAGGCUUGAGUACGGGAGAGGGCAGUGGAAUUCCUGGUGUAGGGGUGAAAUCCGUAGAUAUCAGGAAGAACACCGGCGGCGAAGGCGGCUGCCUGGACCGAUACUGACGCUGAGACGCGAAAGCGUGGGGAGCAAACAGGAUUAGAUACCCUGGUAGUCCACGCCGUAAACGAUGAGCACUAGGUGUUGCGGGUAUUGACCCCUGCAGUGCCGCAGCUAACGCAAUAAGUGCUCCGCCUGGGAAGUACGGUCGCAAGACUA
rnacentral:rRNA from 1 species